GAUGAACGCUGGCGGCGUGCCUAAUACAUGCAAGUCGAGCGAACAGAUGAGGAGCUUGCUCCUCUGACGUUAGCGGCGGACGGGUGAGUAACACGUGGAUAACCUACCUAUAAGACUGGGAUAACUUCGGGAAACCGGAGCUAAUACCGGAUAAUAUAUUGAACCGCAUGGUUCAAUAGUGAAAGACGGUUUUGCUGUCACUUAUAGAUGGAUCCGCGCCGCAUUAGCUAGUUGGUAAGGUAACGGCUUACCAAGGCAACGAUGCGUAGCCGACCUGAGAGGGUGGUCGGCCACACUGGAACUGAGACACGGUCCAGACUCCUACGGGAGGCAGCAGUAGGGAAUCUGCCGCAAUGGGCGAAAGCCUGACGGAGCAACGCCGCGUGAGUGAUGAAGGUCUUCGGAUCGUAAAACUCUGUUAUUAGGGAAGAACAAAUGUGUAAGUAACUAUGCACGUCUUGACGGUACCUAAUCAGAAAGCCACGGCUAACUACGUG
rnacentral:rRNA from 1 species